AUUGAAGGUAAAAAGAAAUCGGAAAAAAGUAAGAUGUAAAAGUUGUGGGAAAACCUGUCUAAGCAUUGUGGGACUCCUGCAGCACAAGAGGCAAUAGCAAAAAUAGAAAGUAUAUCAAUCAAGACAACUGUAGCAGAAGGGGAGAUAUCAGAAGUCUGGCGACAUAUCAGUGACAGUGUGA